CCUACGGGAGGCAGCAGUGGGGAAUAUUGCACAAUGGGCGAAAGCCUGAUGCAGCAACGCCGCGUGAGGGACGAAGGCCUUCGGGUUGUAAACCUCUUUUAGUAGGGAAGAAGGGCUUCGCUUGACGGUACCUGCAGAAAAAGCCCG
rnacentral:rRNA from 1 species